rnacentral:misc_RNA from 1 species
UCUUCAUCUUCUUCUAUAUCACUACUUUUGUCUCUGAAUUUAGCAUCCAUGGCCGACGAUUCCAAGCUUCAUAUUGCUAUGUUCCCAUGGCUAGCCUUGGGUCACAUCAUCCCAUAUUUAGUGCUCUCCAAACUCAUAGCUCAAAAGGGUCAUAAAAUCUCCUUCAUCUCCACUCCUCGAAACAUCCAUCGUCUUCCAAAACUUCCCCCAAACUUAGCCCCUCUCAUCAAUUUCGUUAAGCUUCCACUGCCUCAAGUCGAUGGCCUCCCGGAAGACGCAGAGUCCACCACCGACGUNNNNNNNNNNNNNACCUUAAGAAAGCCUACGAUGGUCUCAAAGAUCCUAUCACCGUUUUCCUUGAAACUUCACGUCCCGAUUGGCUUCUUUAUGAUUUUUCCCCUUAUUGGUUGCCUCGUAUAGCUACUAGUCUUGGCAUUUCAAAUGCCUUCUUCAGUAUACUCUUGGGUGCAGCACUGUGUAACGCGAAGCCGUACUCUGCAAUUGAUGAUCGCACGAAACCAGAAGACUUUACUGUCCCACCAAAGUGGAUUACUUUUCCUACCAAGGUAGUGUUUCGGCUUUUUGAAAUCUCAAGAAUUUUUGAUUCAGUAACAGCUAAUGCGUCCGAAGUUUCCGACUCUUAUCGUAUGGAAGAGGUUUUAAGAGGUUGUGAAAUGAUUGCUGUGAGGAGCUCC